ACAAGCGAGCGGCGGACGGGUGAGUAACACGUGGGUAACCUGCCCAAGAGACUGGGAUAACACCUGGAAACAGAUGCUAAUACCGGAUAACAACACUAGACGCAUGUCUAGAGUUUGAAAGAUGGUUCUGCUAUCACUCUUGGAUGGACCUGCGGUGCAUUAGCUAGUUGGUAAGGUAACGGCUUACCAAGGCAAUGAUGCAUAGCCGAGUUGAGAGACUGAUCGGCCACAUUGGGACUGAGACACGGCCCAAACUCCUACGGGAGGCAGCAGUAGGGAAUCUUCCACAAUGGACGAAAGUCUGAUGGAGCAACGCCGGGUGAGUGAAGAAGGGUUUCGGCUCGUAAAGCUCUGUUGGUAGUGAAGAAAGAUAGAGGUAGUAACUGGCCUUUAUUUGACGGUAAUUACUUAGAAAGUCACGGCUAACUACGUGCCAGCAGCCGCGGUAAUACGUAGGUGGCAAGCGUUGUCCGGAUUUAUUGGGCGUAAAGCGAGUGCAGCGGUUCAAUAAGUCUGAUGUGAAAGCCUUCGGCUCAACCGGAGAAUUGCAUCAGAAACUGUUGAACUUGAGUGCAGAAGAGGAGAGUGGAACUCCAUGUGUAGCGGUGGAAUGCGUAGAUAUAUGGAAGAACACCAGUGGCGAAGGCGGCUCUCUGGUCUGCAACUGACGCUGAGGCUCGAAAGCAUGGGUAGCGAACAGGAUUAGAUACCCUGGUAGU
rnacentral:rRNA from 1 species